AGUGAACGCUGGCGGUAGGCCUAACACAUGCAAGUCGAACGGCAGCACAGGAGAGCUUGCUCUCUGGGUGGCGAGUGGCGGACGGGUGAGGAAUACAUCGGAAUCUACUCUGUCGUGGGGGAUAACGUAGGGAAACUUACGCUAAUACCGCAUACGACCUACGGGUGAAAGCAGGGGAUCUUCGGACCUUGCGCGAUUGAAUGAGCCGAUGUCGGAUUAGCUAGUUGGCGGGGUAAAGGCCCACCAAGGCGACGAUCGGUAGCUGGUCUGAGCGGUGGAUAAGCCACACUGGAACUGAGACACGGUCCAGUCUCCUACGGGAGGCAGCAGUGGGGAUUAUAGGACAAUGGGCGCGAGCCUGAUCCAGCCGUACCGCGUAGGUGAAGAAGGCCUUCGGGUUGUAAAGCCCUUUUGUUGGGAAAGAAAUCCAGCUGGCUAAUACCCGGUUGGGAUGACGGUACCCAAAGAAUAAGCACCGGCUAACUUCGUGCCAGCCGCCGCAGUAA
rnacentral:rRNA from 1 species